AAGUCCAUGAUUAUUCAAUCCCUAAGAUUAAGUAACUAACCCAUCUAUCAAUAUUUACUUCCUAUAUUAACAUAUUUACUUCCUAUAACCUAUAACACUCCCCCUCAAGUUGGAGCAUAAAUGUUAAUCAUGCCCAACUUGUUGCAUAUAUAAUCAACUCGAGUUCCAUUUAGAGGUUUAGUGAAGAUAUCUCCUAAUUGUUCUCCAGUUCGGAUAUGUCCUGUUGAUAUUAUCUUUUGUUGGACCUUUUCACGAACAAAAUGACAAUCAAUCUCGAUGUGUUUAGUCCUCUCGUGAAAUACUGGAUUAGAGACAAUGUGGAUAGCUGCUUGAUUAUCACACCACAACUUAGCAGGCGUCGAAUUUGUGAACCCAACUUCUUCUAAUAGUUGACGUAUCCACAAGACUUCACAAACAGUUUGUGCCAUGGCUCGAUAUUCAGAUUCAGCACUAGAACGGGAGACUACAUUUUGCUUCUUACUUUUCCAUGAGACCAAGUUAUCUCCCACAAAAACACAAUACCCAGUAGUUGACCUCCUAUCAACCUUCGAGCCUGCUCAAUCUACAUCAGAAAAGCAUUCAAUAUUUGAGUGCCUAUGGUUACCAUAGAAUAGCCUUCGUCCUGGGGCCUCUUUAAGGUAACAAAGAAUCUGUCCCAAAGCAUCCCACUAGGCAACAGUAGGAGAUGACAUUGAAUAUGCAAUAUCAGGACGAGUCACUGUCAAAUAAUUCAGCUUGUCAACUAAUUUUCUAUACCUUUCAGGAUCUGCAAAUGGCUCACUGUCUUCUGUGGUAAGUUGAAGGUUAGGGGUUAUUGGGGCACUACAAGGCUUAGCACCCAAUUUUCCUGUUUCUGCUAACAAAUCAAGAACAUAUUUUCUUUGAGACACAAAGAUGUCUUUCUUACACCGUAUAACUUCGAUUCCCAAGAAAUAUUUCAAUGAACCCAAAUCAUUUGUAUAAAACUGUGUUUUAAGAAAUUCUUUUAGGGAUGUGAUGCCAGCAAUGUCACUUCCUGUGAUAACGAUAUCAUCCACAUAUACUACAAGCAGAAUUACUCCACUAUCAGAAUUUCUAUAAAACACUGAGUGAUCACACUUACUCAUCUUCAUUCCAAACUGUUGGACCACCUCACCAAACCUGCCAAACUGUGCCCGAGGACUCUGUUUCAAGCCAUAAAGGGAUUUUCGAAGUCUACAAACCUUGCCCGACUCCCCCUGAGCAACAAAACCAGGUGGUUGCUCAAUAUAAACCUCCUCCUGAAGAUCACCAUGAAGAAAAGCUUUUUUAAUAUCCAGUUGAUGCAAAGGCCAAUCAUGUGUAGCUGCCAAGGAAAUAAACAAUCGAACAGAUGCGAGCUUGGCAAUUGGGGAAAAUGUAUCAGAAUAGUCAACUCCAUAAGUUUGUGCAUAACCUUUAGCCACUAAACAGGCCUUGAGGCGAGCAACAGAUUCAUCAGGAUUUACUUUCAUGGCAAACACCCAUUUGCACCCAAUAGCCUGCUGUCUUGGGGGCAAGGACAUCAACUCCCAAGUACCAUUAGUGUCAAGGGCCAUCAUUUCCUCUUCCAUUGCAGCACGCCAACUAGGAUGGGACAAAGUCUCAAUAACAGUUUUGGGAACUGAAAUAGAAACUAAAGCAGUGGCAAAACAACGAGAAGAAGAGGAUAAUUGAUCAUAAGAGACACAAGCUAAAAUAGGAUAAGUGCAAGUACGUUUACCUUUGCGAAGAGCAAUGGGCAAAUCCAAAUUAGACAGUGAAGGAUCAGUGGGAGAGGAUCUGUCAACGAAGAAGCGGGUAGUGGAGCGGAGUCAGAGUCCUCUAAGCGUCUGGAAUACACAUGAAAGAUGGGAGGGCGACCUGGCACAUGAGCGAAAGGUAUAGGAGUAGUCUAAGGAGACAGAGAGUGAACAGUGUAUAACAAGAGGUCAUCUUCCUCCCCUUGAGUGUUAUAAACAGAUGAUGGCGGAAAAAACGGAGUGGACUCAAAGAAUGUUACAUCCGCAAACACAAGAUACUGAUUCAAAUCAGGAGAAAAACAACGAUACCCUUUCUGACGUCGAGAGUAGCCAAGGAACACAUUUGAGUGAUUUGGGAUCCAAUUUAGUAACCUGUGGACGAAUAUCACGAACAAAACAAGUACACCCAAAGGUUCGUGGCUUAAUAGGAAACAAAGAUUUAGUGGGAAACAAAAUAUUAUAAGGAAUAUCACCAUGAAGGAUGGAGGAAGGCAUGCGAUUGAUCAAAAAACAAGCCGUGGAUAUAGCAUCAGCCCAAAAACAUUUAGGUACUUUCAUUUGGAAUAAGAGGGCUCUGGCUACUUCAAGAAGAUGUCGAUUUUUUCUUUCGGCAACUCCAUUUUAUGAAGAAGUGUCAAUACAAGAGGACUGAUGAAGAAUCCCUUUUUGUAACAAAUAGGAUUGAAAUUCCCCAGAGAAAUACUCUUUAGUAUUAUCACUUUGCAAUAUACGAAUGGGAAUAUUGAAUUGGGUUUGGAUUUCAGCAUGAAACACACAAAAGAUAGAAAAUAAUUCUGAACAACUCUUCAUUAAAAAUAACCAAGUAGUACGAGAGAAGUCAUCAACAAAAGUAACAAAGUACUUAAAGCCAAAUUUAGACACAGUAGGACAAGGACCCCAAACAUCUGAAUGUACUAACUCAAAGGGGUACGAAGCCCGUUUAUUGACUCGAGACACUGAAGGUAAACGAUGAUGUUUGACAAAUUGACAAGACUCACAAUCUAAAACAGACAAAGAAUGAAACUGUGGAUAUAACCUCUUCAAAGCCGAGAGAGAAGGAUGCCCCAAACGACAAUGAACAUCAAAAGGUGUUAAACGCGUAGAACAUGCAAGAGAUCUAGGUAGCUGCUGAUCCAAGACGUAGAGACCCUCUGACUCACGCCCUCUACCAAUAAUCUGCUUCGUCGAAAGAUUCUGAAAAAUACAGUGAUCAAGAAAGAAUGAGACACAACAAUUCAAUGCACGAGUGAGUUUACUAACAGAAAGUAAAUUAAAUGCGAACUUAGGGAGACAUAACACAGAGGAUACAGAAAAAUAAGGGGUUAAGUUGACAUGGCCAGAACCCAUGACAAAAGAUUUAGUACCAUCAACAAGAGUAACAUAAGAAGGCGAUGCAUGAGACUCGAGAUUGGACAAAAGGGUAAAAUUACCUGACCUAUGAUCGGUAGCACCAGAAUCAAUAACCCAUUUGGAGAAUGAAGAUACAAGACAUGCAGUAGAGUUACCUGACUCGGCAACUGCAGUGAUAGAAGAGGAAUUAGAGGAUUUUAGAGAUGUCUGGUAUUGGAUGAAUUUUGCAUACUCAUAUGCAAAUGUUAAAAUUCCCUGAUCUGAAGGGGCCUCAACUGCCAUAUGUGCCAUUUGUAUGCGCUGAUUUUUAUUCUGUAGAACAGUACCCGUGAAUAGUACCGAUGAACAGUGCCCGUGAACGGUACCGAUGAACAGUGCCCGUGUACCGAAAAAAAAAAAAUAAAAACCUUCACCCAACACUCGAACGGCAAACAAACCUCAGAUCUGACAAGGGGACGGUGUGGCAACUCCAGCGACGGUGAGAUCCAAAUGUCUCCCUUUAUGGAUAACCCAAAUAAACAGAGCUCUAAGUCUCAAAAAAAAAAAUUUUAACUUGACGAGAGAGAAAAAAAAAAUUAAAUCUCUACAAGAAAGGCUCUGAUACCAUGUAGAAGGAUAAUAUUUAUUGUUUUCUCACAAUAAAGAUUACAACCUAUUUAUACAUGAGAGAGUAUCUAAACAGGAAGGAAAAUCAAGCCCAAUAUUUUUUUCCUAUAUUAACAUAUUUACUUCUUAUAACCUAUAACAAUAAUGACAAGGAUGAACAACAAAAGUUUUUCUAAAAAGUAUUGCUUAGUCUGUUUUGGCUGGAUUUUAUGUGCUUGAUAAAGAUAAAAACGUGUAAACCAAUGGAAGUUAAAU
rnacentral:lncRNA from 1 species